ensembl:lncRNA
UUGGCAUAGCCAGCCUGAGAUUGCUGCUGGCUCAACCGUGACAGAGCACCAAACAGGGUCCAGGGAGGCAGCGUCAGAGAGGAGGUCCUGAGCAUGUCAGAGCUCUCCACAAGCACUAUGCUCCCUGGGAAUGCUUGUUAAAGGGGAGAAGUACUUCUGUCUGCAUCUAGUGAAGUCAGCCCUAUAGUAGAUGAAAUACUAAACUGCUCUGGCCAGAGAUUACACAUCCUGAUGCUCACAGAGUCUUCCAUAGAACAUAUUGCAAGGCAUAAGCAGGCAGCAGAAGUAGAGAGUCUUGUGAAGUGGCUCGGGCCUUUGCACACAUACAAUACACAUGACUUCGGGCUAGUUCCAAACUGCAGAAGAGCCAGCAAAAAUGCAGUCCCCAGCACUGUCUGCUUUGUAGAAGGAGAAUUAAAUAUUCCAUUGAAACCAACUCAAAAGAAAUUAGAUGAACAAAAGUAAUCUUAAUGGUUUUACGGAAUAUGUUAACAGAUCUUCAAUAGUACUGUCACUUCAAGGCAUUUAUGUAUUAACUACAUGAAAAUAAAAAUAAACAGUGCUAAUAAACAUUGCUAUGAGGAGUGCAGCCACUCUCUGGUACUUUUAGACCAGAAUCCUGAGGGCGAUAAUAAUUAUACUUAAGUGUUCCCAGAAUAUUUAUGCAUGUUUCUUUUAAAAGGAACAGAUUUUUGCCCUUAAGGCCCACUCAAGUUGCAAUGAUUUUAAUUAGUGGCACAGAUAGCUUAAUUCAACUUAUUCUACAUGCACUAUUAGUGAUGUUUAAAUCAGCUAACUGGUCUCCAUAAUCAAGGAGCUGAAGGUGUAUAUGAUAUGGAUUUAAUAGAACAAUUCUGUUAACUCAGACAGGGGACUCUGAUUCUGGAGCAGACAUGAUUACAGUCCAUACUUUUAAAGAAACCACAAGUUGUGCCAGCAUAGGGUAAAGGGCAUUGAUCAGACCUAAUUGACUUGGGCAGGCGUGACAGGUUGGGCUUAGUUGAGCUUCCUGACUGAACCAAGUUUCUCUAAAGGACUUAAGUUGAAUCUGCAUAGCUGUUUUCUCAUUUCUGUCUGCUGUUUUUCAGCUCUCUUGUGAGAUACAGGACCAUAGAUUUGCCAAAAGAGAACCAUUCGAACUUUGCUCUGUGUGCAGGUGUGUGUGACCAUACUCCCAAUAAGCUAUUUGUUUUUCUUUAAAUGCCUAGCUGUGUUUAUGUGUUUGAGAAAUCAGUGUUUUUUCAUCUCUAAAGAGAUUCUGUGCUUGAUAGUAGUUUUGUUUUGCUUGGAUAGUUACAUGCAUCUUGUAAAUUUAAUACUCUUUAUCCUUGGUUAUAACUUGUUAAAGACAUAUGUUAACUACAUAAAUAGACUAAUAAAAGUAUGGUCCCUUCUCAACCUAUUUUAUCUUAUCCAACGAAGAGCUUUGAAAGGGUACACAAGAAUAUGUGUUAGACCCAUGGGGAGAGAGGGUAAGUGCAUUCCCCCGUAUUUAUGAUAGUAGACAUAUUCAUUACUGUUAGACAGAAGACUUUCCUGCUUUCCUCUCUCUUCUUUUAGGCUAUGGUUCUGGCAUCCUAAAACAGACCACCUAGGGAGCUCUUGUUCCAGGUGUAUUGUGAAAAGUAAUUCCUGGUUUCAGACUUUUCUAUACUUUCUUGUACUUAGAGCUCUUCUUUUUCCUGUACUUAUUUGUCUAACAGAGGUGCCUCCUAAACAAUUACACAUAUGUAAAAUUCAGGCCAGCCCUUCACAGCUCUCUGGAUGGAGAAGAGCAGCUCUUUGGGCCUAGAAAUUCUUAGGUGUUAUAUGUUACACAUGAGAAAACGAGGUCCUUUUUCCUUGACAAAGCUGAAAAUAUCAUUCGAGUGCUGAGUAAGAGAUAUGCAGAAGUAGAUUUUAUCUGGCACUUUUACAGUAGAGCAUUCUGACAGAGUUUCAGGGCAUCAUUUGAUGUAACAAUGCAGUUUAUACGCAAUAUAAAUUAUCAUUUACACCAGUGGGUUUUUAUUUUUGUGUGUGUUAUAUGUACUCUUUGGAGGUACCAUUAAUGGCCUAUAAAUCACAUUACGCACCACAAACAUGAAUGAGUGAAGUUGAAAUAAGGGCAUUUGUAAUCUCAGGGCAUUUAGAAUAUUUUGAAUACAGAUCAAUGACUGAACCUAUCAUGGACUUUAGAAUCCUUGAUUUAUAACAGCAUGUUUUCUUUGCUACAUUUACAAGAAAUAUAAUUUCUUUAAAUUUGUAUAUACUUGUUUUAUACAGUUACAGUAUAUUAAAUUGUAAGAGCAUUUAGAUCUGUUGUUUCACAGAUGCAUGUCUCUACGAUUGCUUUGUUUACUGGGAAAUCAUAGCACAGAAAUGUUUUUAGUUAUAUAAGCUUCAUUAUAAUCACCAAGAAGAUUUAAAUAAAUCGUGGGUGAGUGCUUUGAUUAUAUUAAUUCACAGUUUAAACUCUCUUUUAUUUUGUGACUACAGCCUGGGCAUUUUUUCAAUGUGCAUUAUUGCUCCGGUAGUACCUCUAGGAAUUAUACUUAGGUGUAUGAGAAAAGAAAAAUUCUGAGAAAAGAGCAAAGGAUCUCCUUUAAUCUUGAUAGGUUACAAAACAAGUUUGUGUUUGUAAGCUGCAAUUUAAGUUGGAUUAGUUUUCAGGGAAAGGAAAAAUAAAAAGAGGUGCUU